UAUUAAAAUUUUCAUCUAUUUCUACUGUUAAAAAAUGACAUAGCUGAUAAAAUAAUCGAACAGUUACAUGUGGUGUGGUACAUGUAUCUCAUGCUGAUAUACAAGUGCCAGAUUUUAAUAGUAGAAAUAAAUGAAAUUUUUAACA
rfam:Gossypium raimondii Chr01_contig_144, whole genome shotgun sequence.